rnacentral:rRNA from 1 species
UACGGAGGGUGCAAGCGUUAUCCGGAUUCACUGGGUUUAAAGGGUGCGUAGGUGGGAAUGUAAGUCAGUGGUGAAAUCUCCGUGCUUAACAUGGAAACUGCCAUUGAUACUAUUUAUCUUGAAUUUUCUGGAGGUCAGCGGAAUAUGUCAUGUAGCGGUGAAAUGCUUAGAUAUGACAUAGAACACCAAUUGCGAAGGCAGCUGGCUACAGGGAUAUUGACACUGAGGCACGAAAGCGUGGGGAUCAAACAGG